rnacentral:rRNA from 1 species
CGCGUAGGCGGUCUGUUAAGUGUGAAGUGAAAUCUCCAGGGCUCAACCCGGAAACUGCUUCGCAUACUGGCAGACUUGAGGAAUGCAGAGGUUUGUGAAAUUCCCGGUGUAACGGUGAAAUGUGUUGAUAUCGGGAGGAACACCCAUGGCGAAGGCAGCAAACUGGGCAUUAUCUGACGCUGAGGCGCGAAAGCGUGGUAGCAAACA